rnacentral:lncRNA from 1 species
UUUUUUUUUUUUUUUAAGCCAUGUUAUGGUCUAGACUCUAAAGAGAUUCUAUUUUUCUUUCUAAAAUAUACCAGAUUUUUCAUACAAAAGAGAAAGCAAGUGGUAUUAAUCAGGGACCAGGCUUGUGAGUUUUCUGAAAGGAAUGCAGACCAGGUGGGAAAUGGGCUUCAGUUUCCUCUUUUUUUUUUUUUUUUUGGCCACUCCACGGGUAUGCGGAAGUGCUGAGGCCAGGAAUUGAACUUGUGCCACAGCGGUGACAAUGCCGGAUCCUUAACCUGCUGAGUCUUCGGUCUCCUCAUUUUUAAAGCAAAAGAUUUGAGCAAAAUGGCUUUAGGGUUUCUUCUGGCUGUAGCUCUUCUUGGACACUUUGUCACCUACACCAAAGCUUGUGCAGGUUCACAUGGAGAUUCAUCUUAUUUCCCUUGCUCAUGUACGGAGGUGAUAUGUGAUGUCCGCAGUUGACAGACGGCCGUCUCUCUGAUGAGAUUCUCUUUGGAGUUAGACUAAAGAGAGAGGGUUUUAGGAUUUGGAGCAUAAUCUAGCACUCACAAGUGACACCUUCUUUCUGUUUCUGUUGUGGUCUCUGUAGUUGCUGCCCAGGUCUGCAUUCAUGUUAAUAAUCAUUAUAAUUGUAAUACUAAUAAAAUCAAGGAGGAAUCCUCUCCCUCCCGCCUUACUUUCAUCUCCACUCCGUCAUUAAUUUUCUUAACUUCCUAUCUCACCUCAUACAACAAUGAACACUUUCCAAUUUACCGAAACAGUUGUUCUGUAGAAGACCAGCGCGCUCCAGUGACUCAGUAUCGUUAUAUCUUCAUCAGCCCCGAAAGAAGAGUGUGCUGGCGUGUGUUUGUGUGCGUGCCCGCCCAUCCACGCCGAGUUGAGAAACACGAGUUAGGCGCAGGAAUGAUGAGACGGUUGGGCUUCAAAGAGAACAUUUGUAGAUUCUAUCUGGAACACAUUUUAUUAAAAUUGCAGCAAACUUUAUAAAAUCAGAUGUAUGGUUCAUUAAGGGAACAUUACCUUACAAUUAUGAUUAAUUAGAUUAAACUUAUGAAAGUGUGUUAUUUGUUCAAAUCAAAAGGGUGGGGGAAGAUGAUGGAUGAUGAAAGAGUGUGAUAAAUGAAGAAAGCAGCCGAACUAAAUUGAAUGUGUAUUCAUCCGUUUUCACUUCAUAACUAAUGAUAAAUUGAGCAUGUCACACUUAACAAUACACGUCUGGGAGCAAGCCCACGGUUUCAGCGCCUGUUCGCUAAUGCCUUGUGAUAGGUAGUUGAGACCAAAGAAGUGAAAUUUUAGCCCUUGGACUUUUGUCUGCUUGCAUCUUUCCUUGGAAAACACAGUGGAUGCUUACUAACUGAAUGAAAAUAAGGGACAGAAUUUAAGUUUUUACGUAAGAGAAAAACCGUGCUUCCAACUCUCUUCGUUUCCCCCCCAGAGGGAGGUCCCCCCCCGUUUUCAGGCUGGGUCAGGUGGCAGAGGUGGAAGCACCCAGGGCUGCGGGAACGUCUUUCCCUUUCCCUUCUCCAGCGCAGCCGUGUUUACCUUGGCAAGUGAUUGGAAGAAACACCCUGAGAAGCUCAUUAGACAGUCUGGGAAAUUUGGAAGUGCGGGGUAAACCUUAGACAGUUUACAUCAGUUUCCUGAAAUAAGUUCUCCUAUAUUUUAAAAUCACAUUGUAGCCUCUCAAGGACCAUCUGAGAUUUACAGAACUGGUGUGGGGGUCACACCAACUGGGAGAAAGUGUGUGGAAAUAUUUCCAGUCAGACUGAAAUUAGAGGUUUGUCGCAGAGAGUCAGGCGUGGUUAUAAGAAGAAUCCCCUUUUGCUAAAAAAAAGUUCAGAAGGGUAAGGCUAUAGGGUCUGACACACGAGCAGUAUUUCCCUGCUCUUUAGUUCUCAUUGCAAUUGAGUUAGGAUGAUAUAAAGUGAGUGACAUUUUCUGAAAAUGUUACAAAACUAUAUAUAUAUAGUUAUAUAUUUGUAUAUAUGUAUAGUUUUUGGAUACAUUACAAAACUAUAUAUAUAAGAUUGUGUGUAUAUAUAUAGUUUUCUAAAAGGACUUUGGUAAGAUUCAUUUUAAUGGUGGUGAAAGUUUCUAGGCAGUUUUCAUUUUAUCCGUGCCCUAUCUGUAAGCCCCACCUCAAAAUCGCUUUAACCAAAAGACCAGGGAUGCUGCUUAAUGACCUGCAGGCACAGGACAGCCCCUAACACCAAAGAAUUAUCUGAAUUAAUCCAGUUCAGAAUGUCAUUAGCGAUGAGGUUGAAAAACUCUGGCCUAGAAUUUAACGAACGGCAACUUGGUGAACUUGGUGACCAGGUGACAGUGAGACUGAAGGUCAAGCACAAGGCUGACGUAUAGAACUAAGUCUUAAUAAACACUCGUCUCAAAGGGCCCGGAACGCAUCGGCCAGUACUAUGCCAAAGGACCCCAAACUCAACAACGCCGCUAUAAAUAACGCUAAUAACUUUAAGUAGGGUAUGGCAUAAAUUGGGUUCAUCUUGGAUCUGAACCAAAGCAAUUUAAUUCCUGAAGUGCCAGAAUAAUUUUGCUCCGUUCAAGUCAUUUUCGUCCUGUGUUCCCUCAGGAGCCGAUGUGUGAGAUGACAGUGGGGUUUUUAGGAGGUCUUAUAACCGCUGCUUUUCCACAGGAGGGGAACUGGAGGGUAGGCUUUGGCCUCAUGGCUAAAUUAGAAACAGAACCGGAACCGGAAUUCAGCUUGCCCGAGUGUCGCUUGAUUCUCCAGUUAAACCCCUUCUCCUUUUCAGCCCAGGGCGCUGCUCCCUCUCCUGCAAGGAGACGGUCUCUAUUAACAGCAGAUUGUCUUGGCAAAGAGUAUCUCGAAGGUGAAGGAGGGUGGUGGAGGCUCGAGUCGCAGCAAAGUAUUCAAACGAGGAGCUUAGAGGAAGAACCUGUCACACUUGUCUGAGUUCUGACGUGAAAAUACAUUUCGGGGCCAAGACAAUUCAUCUGUCAGGCUUCCUGUUGGAAGAAUAUUUGCUCAGCUGUGAGAGGAGAGCUUCAGUGAACAUCCAAGAUAAUGAAAGUUUGAUAAUACUCAAUAUUCGGGAAAUAACCCUGAAUCGAGUAGGUUCUUAGUGUCAAGAUGCAAGAUGAUAAAGAACCUUGAGAAAAGUUCCUAGGGAGCAGGAAGCAACAGAGCCCACAUCAGUGGGGUUUUCUGACUGGGAGAUGAGGGUUCUGUCUUUCUCAGGAGGAGUCCUUGUUCCGUUCACAAUUUUUUGUGUGUGUUUGUUUCACCUGUUUUAAAAAACUAUAAAAC